rnacentral:rRNA from 1 species
GAUAAACGCUGACAGAAUGCUUAACACAUGCAAGUCGAUGAUGGGAGCUAGCUUGCUAGAAGAAGUCAUGGCGGACGGGUGAGUAACGUGUAAAGAACUUACCAUAUAGACUGGGAUAACAGAGGGAAACUUCUGAUAAUACUGGAUAAGUUAGUAGUAGCAUUACUAAGUAAUGAGAGGUAGUAAUACGCUAUAUGAGAGCUUUGCAUCCUAUUAGCUAGUUGGUGGGGUAAAAGCCUACCAAGGCGAUGAUAGGUAGCCGGCCUGAGAGGGUGGACGGCCACAAGGGGACUGAGAUACGGCCCUUACUCCUACGGGAGGCAGCAGUGGGGAAUAUUGGACAAUGGAGGCAACUCUGAUCCAGCAAUUCUGUGUGUGUGAAGAAGGUUUUAGGACUGUAAAACACUUUUAGUAGGGAAGAAAGAAAUGACGGUACCUACAGAAGAAGCGACGGCUAAAUACGUGCCAGCAGCCGCGGUAAUACGUAUGUCGCGAGCGUUAUCCGGAAUUAUUGGGCUUAAAGGGCAUCUAGGCGGUUAAACAAGUUGAAGGUGAAAACCUGUGGCUCAACCAUAGGCUUGCCUACAAAACUGUAUAACUAGAGUACUGGAAAGGUGGGUGGAACUACACGAGUAGAGGUGAAAUUCGUAGAUAUGUGUAGGAAUGCCGAUGAUGAAGAUAACUCACUGGACAGCAACUGACGCUGAAGUGCGAAAGCUAGGGGAGCAAACAGG